rnacentral:lncRNA from 1 species
CCUAUCAACCCUUUUAGCACGUGUCAAAAACUCAAAGAAAAAGACGAUGACUUUGAAGUCUACAAGUCAUAUUUCUGUGAACGAGUGAACUGGCAACAUGUCGAGCCCGUAAGUAACUAGGUUUUUCCUAUAGAAAUUAUAGCAAGUCACAGUAAAAUCUUGAACCCAGAACAACAACAACAACAACAACAGCAGCUGGAUCAAUUGGUUCCUCGGAAUCAAGGGCAACGAGUUCGUCUGCCACGUGCCCACCAACUACUUUCAGGACACGUUCAACCAGAUGGGCCUGGAGUACUUCAGCCAGCACUGGACGUGAUCCUGAAGCCGGCGUUCGACAGUUCCUCGGGCUUGUUCUACGACGAUGAGAAAAAGUGGUACGGCAUGAUUCACGCCCGAUACAUCAGGUCGGAGCGUGUCGUGAAUGAUAGGCACCGAAACUAUAUGAGAGGAGACUUUGAAUCGUGUCCGAAUAUCUCCUGUAAUAGGAAGAACACCCUGCCAGUGGGCCUCAGCGAUGUGUGGGGCAAGUCAACGGUGAAGAUCUACUGCCCACGCUGUAAAAACUACUUCCAUCCUAAAACUGAUACACAGCCAUGUUCGAGCCCAGCUUCCCGGACAUCUUCUUAACGCAGCUGCCGAACUUGACGACCCACGAUAAGUAAUUCUCCGAAUAUAGUCCUGGUUGUUUUCUUAACAAAGCGCUUGAACUUGCAGUCCCUAUGCUUUCGGUUGCACCAGAAGGCCUUGAUGCCACUUAAAUCGCCCAAGUCCUCACCAAAGAAAAUCGGAUCCUCGGCCAGCUAGUCCUCCUCCUCGCCCCGGCAUUCCGAAGUCAAGCGCUUCAAUGUUCUUCUAGGGAUGACGUGAUUUUUUAACUCCACACAAAAGAAAGCAGAAAUGUUUGUCCGAUAUAUUGUUGUUGCAAUUAAACAGAUUCCGCAGUGCGUUGAUAUGGCCAGCUACCACCUACUAAUACACCUCAUACACCUCUCCUCUAAAUACUUGGUUCAAAGUGUUCGGUCCAAGCUGGUCAUAUCAAGCACUCAUUCGAGUAGCAAAGCAUACUUUUCGUUAAUAGUGGUAAUCACCUGGGUAUAAUAAUAAUAUUAAUCAAUAAAACAUUCAAUUCAGUUUUUUAUUUAAUAUUAUGUUAAGAGUUUCCAAAAGUGUUUUCCUGACUACUAUCAAAUAUUUUUUGAUAAUUUAAUUUCUUUAAAUAUACAAAUUCUGUUUUAAUGUAUUAUAGGAGUGAGUAGAAGGUUAAAACAUUAUUUUCAAUUUAAAAUAAAAUUAAAAUUUUGAUUCCAUCAUUUUUAUGUAAUUCUUUUUGUAGAGUAUU